AACGGCGAGUGAAGCGGCAAGAGCUCAAAUUUGAAAUCUGGCCUCCUACGGGGGUCCGAGUUGUAAUUUGUAGAGGAUGCUUCGGGUGUGGCCGCCGUCUAAGUUCCUUGGAACAGGACGUCAGAGAGGGUGAGAAUCCCGUCUUGGGCGGCCGGUCCGCGCCCGUGUGAAGCUCCUUCGACGAGUCGAGUUGUUUGGGAAUGCAGCUCUAAGCGGGUGGUAAAUUUCAUCUAAAGCUAAAUACUGGCCGGAGACCGAUAGCGCACAAGUAGAGUGAUCGAAAGGUUAAAAGCACCUUGAAAAGGGAGUUAAACAGCACGUGAAAUUGUUGAAAGGGAAGCGCUUGCGGCCAGACUCGGGGGCGGGGUUCAGCGGGUGCUCGUCGCCCGUGCACUCCCCGUCUCCCGGGCCAGCAUCAGUUUCGACGGCCGGUCAAAGGCCUCCGGAAUGUGUCGUCUCUCGGGACGUCUUAUAGCCGGGGGUGCAAUGCGGCCCGUCGGGACUGAGGAACGCGCUUCGGCUCGGAUGCUGGCGUAAUGGCCGUAAGCGGCCCGUCUUGAAACACGGACCAAGGAGUCUAACAUCCACGCGAGUGUUCGGGUGUCAAACCCGUGCGCGCAGUGAAAGCGAACGGAGGUGGGAGCCUUAGGGCGCACCAUCGACCGAUCCUGAAGUCUUCGGAUGGAUUUGAGUAGGAGCGUGGCCGUUGGGACCCGAAAGAUGGUGAACUAUGCCUGAAUAGGGUGAAGCCAGAGGAAACUCUGGUGGAGGCUCGCAGCGGUUCUGACGUGCAAAUCGAUCGUCAAAUUU
rnacentral:rRNA from 1 species